CAGGGGGUGCAAACGUUGCUCGGAAUUAUUGGGCGUAAAGCGCGCGUAGGCGGCUACUUAAGUCGGAUGUGAAAGCCCUUGGCUCAACUGAGGAAGUGCACCCGAAACUGAGUGGCUUGAGUACUAAAGAGGGUCGCGGAAUUCCCGGUGUAGAGGUGAAAUUCGUAGAUAUCGGGAGGAACACCGGUGGCGAAGGCGGCGACCUGGGUAGAUACUGACGCUGAGGCGCGAAAGCGUGGGGAGCAAACAGGAUUAGAUACCCUGGUAGUCCACGCCGUAAACGAUGGGUGCUAGAUGUUUCUGGUAUUGACCCCGGAGGCGUCGUAGCUAACGCGUUAAGCACCCCGCCUGGGAAGUACGGCCGCAAGGCUA
rnacentral:rRNA from 1 species